rnacentral:rRNA from 1 species
AAUCAGUUAUCGUAUAUUUGAUAGUACCUACUACAUGGAUAACCGUGGUAAUUCUAGAGCUAAUACAUGCUUAAAAUCCCGACUUCGGAAGGGAUGUAUUUAUUAGAUUAAAAACCAAUGCCCUUCGGGGCUCACUGGUGAUUCAUAAUAACUUCUCGAAUCGCAUGGCCUUGUGCCGGCGAUGGUUCAUUCAAAUUUCUGCCCUAUCAACUUUCGACGGCUGGGUCUUGGCCAGCCGUGGUUACAACGGGUAACGGAGGGUUAGGGCUUGACCCCGGAGAAGGAGCCUGAGAAACGGCUACUACAUCCAAGGAAGGCAGCAGGCGCGCAAAUUACCCAAUCCCGAUACGGGGAGGUAGUGACAAUAAAUACUGAUACAGGGCUCUUUUGGGUCUUGUAAUUGGAAUGAGUACAAUUUAAAUCCCUUAACGAGGAACAAUUGGAGGGCAAGUCUGGUGCCAGCAGCCGCGGUAAUUCCAGCUCCAAUAGCGUAUAUUAAAGUUGUUGCAGUUAAAAAGCUCGUAGUUGAACCUUGGGCCUGGCUGGCCGGUCUGCCUCACCGCAUGCACUGGUCCGGCCGGGCCUUUCCCUCUGGGGAGCCGCAUGCCCUUCACUGGGUGUGUCGGGGAACCAGGACUUUUACUGUGAAAAAAUUAGAGUGUUCAAAGCAGGCCUAUGCUCGAAUACAUUAGCAUGGAAUAAUAGAAUAGGACGUUGCGGUUCUAUUUUGUUGGUUUCUAGGACCGCCGUAAUGAUUAAUAGGGACAGUCGGGGGCAUCAGUAUUCAAUCGUCAGAGGUGAAAUUCUUGGAUCGAUUGAAGACUAACUACUGCGAAAGCAUUUGCCAAGGAUGUUUUCAUUAAUCAGGAACGAAAGUUAGGGGAUCGAAAACGAUCAGAUACCGUUGUAGUCUUAACCAUAAACUAUGCCGACUAGGGAUCGGGCGAUGUUUUUCUUUGACUCGCUCGGCACCUUACACGAAAGUAAAGUUUUGGGUUCUGGGGGGAGUAUGGUCGCA